UGGAUAAUGAGAACCACAGCCUCCAGACUUGAGUGUGCAGCUUCUUAGAUCAUCUCAUCUGCCAAGCUUAUAUCAUAAACAUAGCGGACCAAGUCAGGAUCAGCCAUGUCAGGACCAGAUCAAAAGUACUAACUUAAUGACUCAUGCAAUAGUGCCCAGUACAAGAUCAAUGAUUGUUUUGAGAAACUUAAGGAAAAUGGAUCCCAGAGGUACACAUACACGAAAACAAAAGCCUAUAACAUUUUACAUCAUAGCAGCUUCAUAAACUUGGGAAGCAAUAUCUAGCCACAGGUUGGUUGAUUGGACUACACUCGGUUUUGGGGAAUGGGCAUGAAUGAUAUUUGCUAGGAUCUGAAAUCUUCUCUUUCUUUCUUUUCUUAUUGGAGAAAUUUAUUAUAGCCAUGUGUAAGAAAAGGAGGAAUUGUAAAGGAGGGCAGUAGUAUUAGACACAGUUUUUAAAAAUCUAUAUUUAGCCUUCUCUUAACUAGAGCGUGUUUUAAGAAGUGCCAUGGUUUGAGCAACCAUUUAUGAAAAUAUUUUCCCCUUCUGUAUUGAAAACCAAGCUUAAUAGGAAAUGGGAACAACUUAAUCUGCAAAACCAAUAUAUUGUAAUAACUAUUAGUGUAAGA
rnacentral:lncRNA from 1 species